rnacentral:rRNA from 1 species
GUGAUAAGGGAACUCCGAGUGCCCGUAAAAUCGGGCUGUCCAUUUGUUUAAAAAACAAGUGAAGAAAGGGCCGGGCAAGACCGGUGCCAGCCGCCGCGGUAAUACCGGCGGCUCGAGUGGUGGCCACUAUUACUGGGCUUAAAGCGUUCGUAGCUGGUUUGUUAAGUCUCUGGGGAAAUCUUCCGGCUUAACCGGAAGGCGUCUCAGGGAUACUGGCAGACUAGGGACCGGGAGAGGUGAGGGGUACUUCAGGGGUAGGAGUGAAAUCCUGUAAUCCUUGAGGGACCACCUGUGGCGAAGGCGCCUCACCAGAACGGCUCCGACAGUGAGGGACGAAAGCUGGGGGAGCAAACCGGAUUAGAUACCCGGGUAGUCCCAGCUGUAAACGAUGCGCGUUAGGUGUAUCAGUGACCACGAGUCACUGAGGUGCCGAAGAGAAAUCGUGAAACGUGCCGCCUGGGAAGUACGGUCGCAAGGCUGAAACUUAAAGGAAUUGGCGGGGGAGCAC